rnacentral:tRNA from 1 species
GGGGAAAUAGUGUAGUGGUAUCACAUAAGCUUCGCAUGUUUGUAACCGGGGUUCAAUUCCCCGUUUCUCCA